rnacentral:rRNA from 1 species
CCUACGGGAGGCAGCAGUGAGGAAUAUUGGUCAAUGGGCUUACGCCUGAACCAGCCAAGUCGCGUGAGGGAAGACUGCCCCAUGGGUUGUAAACCUCUUUUGUCAGGGAGCAACGCCGGCUACGUGUAGCCGGACUGAGAGUACCUGAAGAAAAAGCAUCGGCUAACCCCGUGCCAGCAGCCGCGGUAAUACGGAGGAUGCGAGCGUUAUCCGGAUUUAUUGGGUUUAAAGGGUGCGUAGGCGGAAUGCCAAGUCAGCGGUAAAAGCGCGGGGCUCAACCUCGCUCCGCCGUUGAAACUGGCGUUCUUGAGUGGGCGAGAAGUAUGCGGAAUGCGUGGUGUAGCGGUGAAAUGCAUAGAUAUCGCGCAGAACUCCGAUUGCGAAGGCAGCAUACCGGCGCCCAACUGACGCUGAAGCACGAAAGCGUGGGUAUCGAACAGGAUUAGAUACCCUAGUAGUC